UACGGGGGGAGCAAGCGUUGUUCGGAUUUACUGGGCGUAAAGGGCGCGUAGGCGGCCAGCACAAGUCAGUUGUGAAAUCUCCGAGCUUAACUCGGAAAGGUCAACUGAUACUGUGCGGCUAGAGUGCGGAAGGGGCAACUGGAAUUCUUGGUGUAGCGGUGAAAUGCGUAGAUAUCAAGAGGAACACCUGCGGCGAAGGCGGGCUGCUGGGCCGACACUGACGCUGAGGCGCGAAAGCCAGGGGAGCGAACGGG
rnacentral:rRNA from 1 species